rnacentral:rRNA from 1 species
AAACUUUCAACAACGGAUCUCUUGGUUCUGGCUCUUUUUAAGAACGCAGCGAAAUGCGAUAAGUAAUGUGAAUUGCAGCCGUGAAUCAUCGAAUCUUUGAACGCACAUGAAGCCCGCCAGUAUUCUGGCGGGCAUGCCUGUCCGAGCGUCAUUU